CCCGAUAAAGCCAAACCCUUCGUGAGAAGGGGACGGAAAGCGACGGAUGCUAAGCAUGUCGAAGCAUGGCCGGGCUGCCGAAG
rnacentral:ncRNA from 1 species